rnacentral:rRNA from 1 species
CCUACGGGAGGCAGCAGUGAGGAAUAUUGGUCAAUGGACGAGAGUCUGAACCAGCCAAGUAGCGUGAAGGAUGACUGCCCUAUGGGUUGUAAACUUCUUUUAUAAAGGAAUAAAACGCGGCACGUGUGCCUUUUUGCAUGUACUUUAUGAAUAAGGAUCGGCUAACUCCGUGCCAGCAGCCGCGGUAAUACGGAGGAUCCGAGCGUUAUCCGGAUUUAUUGGGUUUAAAGGGAGCGUAGAUGGGUUGUUAAGUCAGUUGUGAAAGUUUGCGGCUCAACCGUAAAAUUGCAAUUGAUACUGGCAGUCUAGAGUACAGUUGAGGUAGGCGGAAUGCGUGGUGUAGCGGUGAAAUGCUUAGAGAUCACGAAGAACCCCGAUUGCGAAGGCAGCUUACUAAACUGUGACUGACAUUGAGGCUCGAAAGUGUGGGUAUCAAACAGGAUUAGAUACCCGGGUAGUC